GACGAACGCUGGCGGCGUGCCUAAUACAUGCAAGUAGAACGCUGAAGCGAGGAGCUUACUCUUCUUGGAUGAGUUGCGAACGGGUGAGUAACGCGUAGGUAACCUGCCUUGUAGCGGGGGAUAACUAUUGGAAACGAUAGCUAAUACCGCAUAACAAUGGAUGACACAUGUCAUUUAUUUGAAAGGGGCAAUUGCUCCACUACAAGAUGGACCUGCGUUGUAUUAGUUAGUAGGUGAGGUAAUGGCUCACCUAGGCGACGAUACAUAGCCGGCCGGAGAGGGUGAUCGGCCACACUGGGACUGAGACACGGCCCAGACUCCGACGGGAGGCAGCAGUAGGGAAUCUUCGGCAAUGGGGGCAACCCUGACCGAGCAACGCCGCGUGAGUGAAGAAGGUUUUCGGAUCGUAAAGCUCUGUUGUAAGUCAAGAACGGGUGUGAGAGUGGAAAGUUCACACUGUGACGGUAGCUUACCAGAAAGGGACGGCUAACUACGUG
rnacentral:rRNA from 1 species